GGAGCCUGUAAUGAUUAUUCCUGUCUUCCCCUGCAGAGUGCUUGGGCCUGGAGACGGAGUCUCGCUCUAUCACCAGGCUGGAGUGCAGUGGUGUGAUCUCAGCUCACUGCAACCUCCACCUCUUGGGUUCAAGCAAUUCUCCUGCCUCAGCCUCCCGAGUAGCUGGGACUACAGGUGUGAGUCACCACGCCCAGGUAAUUUUUGUAUUUUUAGUAGAGACAGCAGGGUUUCACCAUGUUGGCCUGGAUGGUCUUGAACUCCUGACUCAGGUGAUCCACCUGCCUCGGCCUCCCAAUGUGCUGGGAUUACAGGCGCAAGCCACUGCUCCUAGCCCCUAUUUUAUUUUAUUUUAUUAUUUUUUUGAGACGGAAUUUCGCUCUUAUUGCCCAGGCUGGAGUGCAAUGGCACAAUCUUGGCUCACCGCAACCUCUGACUCCCGGGUUCAAGCGAUUCUCCUGCCUCAGCCUCCUGAGUAGCCAGGAUUACAGGCAUGCACCACAACGUCCGGCUAAUUUUGUAUUUUUAGUAGAGAUGGGGUUUCUCCAUGUUGGCCAGGCUGGUCUCGAACUUCUGACCUUGUGAUUCGCCUGCCUCGGCCUCCCAAAGUGCUGGGAUUACAAGCGUAAGCCACUGCACAAGGCCUAUUUUUAUUUUUUUUGAGACAGAGUCUCAUUCUGUCGCCCAGGCUGGAGUGCAGUGGGGCAAUCUUGGCUCACUGCAACCUCCAUCUCCCGGGUUUAAGCAAUUCUCCUGCCUCAGCCUCUUGAAUAGCUGGGAUUACAGGUGUGUGCCACCACACCCACCUAAUUUUUAUAUUUUUAGUAGAGAUGGGGUUUCUCGAACUCCCGACCUCAGGCAAUCCGCAUGCCUUGGCCUCCCAAAGUGCUGGGAUUACAGGCGUGAGCCACCAUGCCCAGCCCCAGUUAAUUUUAAUUUUAAUUUUUGUGGAGACAGGGUCUCAAUAUUUGCCCAGGCUGGUCUUGAACUCCUGGGCUUAAGCAAUCCUCCCUCCUUGGCCUACCAAAAUGCUGGGAUUACAAGUAUGAGCCACCGUGCUUGGCUGACAACUAUUCUGCUUAACUGGAGUUUAAACUGAAAUUUCAGUUAUCUUUGGGAUGUGGAGGCAAGACAGUUUCAUUUGAGACAUACCCCAUGGCACAUGCACAAUGUAGAAAUGUCUUUUCUGGCCGGGCGCAGUGGCUCAUGCCUGUAAUCCCAGCAUUCUGGGAGGCUGAGAUGGGUGGAUCACGAGGUCAGGAGUUUGAAAGCAGCCUGGCCAAAAUGGUAAAACCCCGUCUCUACUAAAAGUACAAAAAUUAGCCAGGCGUGGUGGCAUAGGCUUGUAAUCCCAGCUACUUGAGAGGCUGAGGCAGGAGAAUUGAUUGAACCCCAGAGGCUCAGGUUGC
rnacentral:lncRNA from 10 species